CUUAUAGUAGUAAUGUGUAAUGUUUGAUUUUUUUAACCUGUAUUCCAACUUUACAAAAUAAAAUAACUUUAUAAAAUAACUUAUUUCUAGUUUGCAAUCUCAGUGCAAUUACUAGACACAUUUUGUGAUAAUAAAGAGUCUAUAACUUUGUAAAUUUAUAAAUUUUGGUUUCUGAGAUACGGUUUCAAUACAUAAAAGUUUAAAAAUUGUUUAAUAUUUAUAUAUUUUUCAUCAGAGAUUAUUAACGUUGGAUAUCUAUUGUUCCCUCUGAAGUACUUUAAGAAAAAGUAGGCUAUAUGAUAUAUAAGGCAAUAUUAGUUACGGAGUAGAGUUCGGCUGUAUGCGGAACACCAACCAGCACCUACCAAGAGAGACCAUGCGCAGCUGCACAUCCAUUUGCGACAUCCUGGGCUAUCAAGGGCUAUCAAGAUACUGUCAGCAGAAAGUAUGGAAGCAGAAGAACCGAACCCCUCCCUACAGGAACAGAAGUAUAAGAAUAUGUAUUUUAUCAUUUCCGUUUCUCAAAUUUAAUAACACAAGGCCUGUAGCUUAAGAUGAUUAUAAUAUAACAUUUAAAAUAUUGUUUUUCAAUAGAAGUGGGGUUUGUGGUAUUGUAAUUGAAGAAAAGAACAAUUUACAUAUAGAUACAUUUUAGUUUUCAAACUAAGGUAUAUAAUUAAGAAUACUAAUAAUACGUGGGUGAUUGAUUUGUUUAAGGUAGACAAUGUAUAUCUGCUUUGAGAUUGCCAUCUAGAAUAAAUGAAAAAUUUAGGCAAACAGAAAACAUGUUCUCUAAAGAGAAAGGAGUAAGACUACUUCUGUCUUUGUAUAUUUUAAGGUCUUUGCUAAUAAGCAUCUUAACAACAAGAAAUAGACCUUUUUUUCCCAGUAGCAUUGAUUGUCAACGUCCCGGGAGUGAUGGGUUGCCUUAUUCCAAAGUUCUGUUUUUGAACACUCGAGGAUCUCAUGUGACAGCAAAGAGUAUUGCGUUAGCCACGAAGUCAUGACGACAGACUUCUUAAAUCUACGUUUGUGAUCAACUUUUGGAGUUGAAGACAAAUUACUUUUAAAGUGUUAUCUGCAGCCUAGAGGUAUUCACCGAAAUGGAUAAUCAUUGUUUAUACAAGAUUGCUAAUUGGAAAAAGGUCUAGAAGGUGUGGAAUGAAUGCUCUUACCAAUCAUUAAAAUUGAACUAGCUAUUUGGAUGGAGACUGGAAGAUGUCUUUGAAGACUUUUAUAUAUAUUUAAAGACUUUUGCUGUUUCUGAUGAACUAACUCAAGAAAAGUAUGAUGACACUGACCUUAACUUCAGUGUUUUCGGCGCUGCUCAUAAUGACUGCAGGAAUAUUUCCUGUAGUCAAAUUAAUGUUCAUACUUGUCAAGUUGGAAAAAAAUGCAGCUUUAAUUUUGUUUGCACCACAUUUAAUAGAUUUAAGUAGGACAGAAUAGAUUAAGUUGAGUCUUCCUAUACUACUUCAAGGAGGAUUCUGGGAUUGCAGUCAUGUAUUACAGAGACAGGUCAUGUGGUUCUGAGGCUCAAACUCAGAGAUUCCUGUGGCUCAACAACUACUCUACCAAUUGAACUAUUACAUCCCUAGCUAAAGAAUGCAGUUUGCCUCUAAUCCGGGAAUAGUGUUGCACAACUGUCAUCCCUAGCUCCUUACAACUCAACACAGAGAGGCUGAAGGCCUGAGGCCAGCUUGGCAACUCUGAGACCUCUUCUCCACAUCUCAACAACAAAAAAGGUGGUGACCAUCUUGAUAAACACACCAAAAAUACCUUCUGAAAAGGCUUUGUCUACAGGAUCUCCCAAGUACAGUUAUUAAAUUGAUUGUUUCUGGAGUCCCUUAUCAUCUCACAACUUGCACAGGAGACUUCAGUGGAAUAGAAACGGUCUGCUUUGGGCAAGUAACUGACUGGAAUGUUCAGUUCUUUUGCUUUCAGUACAUCUCGUAUUCUCAUAUUGUAUGUUACCUAUUUUCUCUUUCAUAUUUCACUUUUUGAGCAGAAGAGACUUUUGUGUGGGGGUUGUACAAUUAAUGUGCACAGAUUAUUUUUUUUUUUUACGAUACUUCAGAUGGUAACAAGGUUUUCGGAGCAAUUGAGUUUACCUGCACACCAGUUUUGUUAUCAUUUGUGAGACGGUUUCCUCCUCCUUUAAACAAGAAAUGCAGAUUUUAGGCAGGCCCCAAGAAGAUUCUCUUACAUAAUGUGUUCUCUAGAGAAGGUCCUCUGGCUGCUGCUUUACUGACGUUAAUGACCUCUGUCUGGGGCAGAAGUACAAGUUUCUGUGGUUUGCCUUUUCUUCAAUACCCCAACUGCAGACGUCAAUGCCAUUGAAACUAUGAAUAUGUAAAGAAAUGUAAGCCUUGCACUGACGAGGCGAGACAUGGGGCUGCUAUCUUGUAGAAUGUGUGGCAUCAUCAUUUUAUCGGUAUUCCCCAUGUCCUUUUAGGUCACUGUAUCAAAGACAUUUGAAUUAUUACACUUGUUCCUGCUUAACCUAAGUGAAGUUAAUAUACAGGACUUUUUUUUAAAAAAAGUAUUAGUUAUUUGCUUCUAGACCAUAAGUCAUGCUGUUCAUUGGGGAAAUACUAUCUGCAUCUCUCAAUAUCUUUUAAUAGUUGUUAAGUCUAAGAACACUUGCUAAGAGUUUUUAAAGUGUGUGUGCAUGUAUGUCUUCUUGUGAGUAUGUUCAUGUUCGGUAUCUGCAGAGGUCAGAAAUGAAAGCAGUCCCCCUAAAGCUGGAGUUUGAGGUGAGCCAUGAUUGCUCAACCCCCAGAUAUUUUAAGAUUAUUUACUAAUUCCUUUCAUUGAAUGAAAGUUGGUGUGAUUUACCAGCACAUUGUUUAAUAGGAGCCAGUAAGAUGUCUCCCUGGAAAAAGAGAUUUCCAUCAAAGCCCCGAUGUAUAUCUCUGGAAGCCAGGUGGGAAAGAAUAUAGCAGAGAACAGAAUACUUAAUGGAUUUUUUUUUAAUCUCGUAAAUUUGGAGUACAACUCAAGUCUUUUUACUUAGUAUAUUAUUGUAAGGUUUCAGCUGGAUUCUUGCCCUCUUCUGUGUUUUUUAAUAAGGCCCAUUUAGUUUACACGCGGUGGAAUCCCCUUUUUAAUAGCAAAGUUAAAUUAAUGAAUUUCAGUUAAUCAUGUUAACAUUUGUUUCUCGUGUUCAGAUUGACUUUGAUUCUAAUCAGACUCAGUGACAGUACAUGAAACAGGGGAAAAUAAAACAAUUUAUCAGUUUGUGUUAGGGAUUACAAAACUUUUUUCUGUAAACCUCCAGAUUUAUGGAUGCUAUUGUUGCAACCAGGAAUCUGUUCUUGCGGUAUAAUAGUACCCAGGGCUAAUUCUUAAACUGCACCCCGGUAAAUAGUUAUGCUGAACAAACCUGGGGCCAGAUUUGAACUCUAGCAGAUGAUUUUGAUCACUUGGUGUACUGUAUGGUUCAUCCAGAGGCUCUUUGAUAGAUUUUGAAACAGAAGAUACACAAUGCUUUUGCUUGUACUCGAUUCUGAAUCGUCUCCAUCAGCGGGUCUCAAGCUGUGGCUUGUGUCCCCUUUUGGUAUUCAACAUUCCUUUAACAGGGGUCACCUAAGACUAUUGAUAACAGGGAUUUAUAUUACAAUUCCUAACAGUAGCCAAAUUGCAGAUAUGAAUUAGCAACAAAAAAUAAUUUUAUGAUUGGGAGGUUACCUAAGCAUGAGUAACUGCAUUAAAGGGUCACAUUAUUAGGAAGAUUGAGAAGCACUGAGCUACGUGUUCAAAUAUAUAGUUGUUGAAUGAAAUACUUAAGGCUUUUGGUACUUGGCCCUUCAUAUUUUUUUUUUUGCAAUUUUUAAAGCUAGGUGUUUUAGUACAUUGAAAUAUCACCGUCAACAAUGAUUAAGGCAUUCUCUGGUCGUUCAUUCUUGAUCUUCUAGCCGUGAUGAGUUAAGCCUUCAUAAUAUAUAUAGUAGUUAGUAGCUUUAUUAUGUUUAUGUAAAUUGUAUGUGGCGUUUGUAGAUGUAUGAUCUUUGUAUUAAUGUUUUUAAACUUUCUUUUUUAAUAUGGCACAGAGGUAUUUCCAAACCAGUAGUUUAAGUUUGCAAAAACAUGCUUUGCUCUAUAUGUGAUAUUGUUGAUGAGAUUGUACAUAAUUAUAUCACUAUGAAAAUAUUGUGAUAAUAUUAUAUCAUCAUCUAUGGUUUCUGUCAAUGUUGUGAAAUUGCUCUUAAAGGUUAUCCGGGCUAAGCCAGAGAAGUGGUGUCAUGACAGUGCUAAUUUUCAUAAAUGUGUUUACUAUGUUUCAAAAACAUUUAAAUCAUAGUCAAUCUAAUCAGUGAAAUCGUGUUUUUAAAAACCUAAGCCUACUUUAAAUGUUAAGUGGCCAAGAUCUUACAAAAAUAAGUACUUUUUUUAGAUGUAAAAAAAACUCUAAAUGUCUCCAAAUUUUCCACUUCCUCCUAAAUCCCUUGAGUAUAUACUAUGGUAAUGAGCUUUUUCUUUCUCUUUUAUUUUGAUAAAAUUUUGGGGCUGUAUGCUCUUUAUCUAGUCUUCCUCUCUGCUGUCCUCUCACUCACCGUUUCCUUCCCUUUCUUCUCAUCCUAUUUCUGUUUAUUUAUGUCAUGUAGUUCUCUGAGCUACAUAUUAGCUGCAGAUAUGAUCUCCUAAUUGUCCAAUAUUUUUUGUGCGUGUGUGUUCCUUUAAACCUGACUUAAAAUUUAAGAACUCUGAUGUGUUAGUUUUGCUUUAUCAUAUUGCAUUGUAUUAUACUAAUUAUAUUAUUAUAUUAAUUAUAUCAUAAAACUAA